UACGUAGGGUGCAAGCGUUAAUCGGAAUUACUGGGCGUAAAGCGUGCGCAGGCGGUUGUGUAAGUCUGUCGUGAAAUCCCCGGGCUCAACCUGGGAAUUGCGAUGGAGACUGCACGGCUAGAGUGUGUCAGAGGGGGGUAGAAUUCCACGUGUAGCAGAGAAAUGCGUAGAUAUGUGGAGGAACACCGAUGGCGAAGGCAGCCCCCUGGGAUAACACUGACGCUCAUGCACGAAAGCGUGGGGAGCAAACAGG
rnacentral:rRNA from 1 species